AGAUUUUGGAAACACGUGGAUAAUUUCUUUACAAAAUAAAAAUUAGUAUAUAUUAAGUUUUUUUUGGAUAUUAAGUUUGCAUACAAAAUGUCACGUAAGAAGUAGACCUCAUUGGAAAAACCACCGUUGUCUAGGCCCGUAAUAGACGUUGUUGAAAGUAUGGAAUUUGAAUUAAUGACACCUGUUCAGGCUGCUGCUAUACCGUUACUUUUGUCACGCAAAGAUGUUUCUGCGGAGGCGGUAACUGGCUCAGGAAAAACAUUAGCCCUUUAUUGGAAAUGUUAAGUCGCAGGCCUAAUGAGUCGCCGUGGAUUCCUAAAGAAAUUGACGCUAUAAUUACCUCAACCACCAGAGAACUGGCUUUACAAAUCUCGGAGGUAUUGCAAGUCUUUUUGACCCAGGAGCAGUUAAAGCAUUUACGUCAAAAACUUAUAGUAGGUGGAGGCAGCAUAGAAGAGGAUAUAAAACCUGUACAGAACGAGGGGCCAACCAUUGGAACCAAUCAGCAUCUUUACUAUAAAGAUUUAAAUUAGUGGGAUCGUUUCAUCGUAUUUUAAAAGAAAGUUAGAAAAUCACUGGCCUUGAAUGGUUAUACUGUUAUUGUUCCUAGCGUAUUUGACAAUGCGGCUCAGCUGGCGUGUGAUCUUUUGAUAUCCUCAAAGCAAUGAAAAAAAAUCGGCAAUAUACACCAUGCAACUUUAAUAUCUAUUUGUGGACCAUGUCAAUGCCCGGAAUGCGGAAAAUUUUGCAGAAAUCGCCGAGCUCUAACCAAUCAUCAGGUGUUAAAAGCAUACGUUGGUGGUUCAAACACAGCUGCAAGAUGUCAAAUGGGUUAAACUUCAACGUAUAGUCGACGUAUGAGACGCUUUCAAGUAUUGAAAUCGCAGGUUUUCGCUGUACGGAACAAAUAUCUGAAAGGCAGCGACAUGAAGGAUCCAAUGUGGAGCGUGGUUUUCACAGCCGCGAUGUUAUUAU